UGCCUUUGCAACAAGAACAAAUUAAUGUAUAUAUGGAACGGUUAGCAUCUUCUUAAGGGUUUUGACAAUGAUACCUUUAUGCCAUACUUGCUACUAAUCAGUUAGUUUUUGCAGAACCCCAGUGAUGAGCCGCCAGACCCAAACACAAAAGCUAGGAGAAUUUUGGAAUCUACUGCUAGUGCGGUGUCAUGUUAGUAGGCUCUGACGAAACAAUCUCUUGGAUAAAAGAUCAAGCUUUAUCUUAUCCAUGUUAAGAGACGCUUUGUUUUUCACCGUGGCUCGUAGCUGGUGAUUUUGUUGGCAUCUCUAGUUAGACAACAUUGUAGAAGCAAAAUUGUUUUUCUAAGGACUUGCUCAAAUGGAAAUAGAGAUCGAGACAACUAGAUUUUAAGAUGCUAUAAUAGUACUGUUAUUAUCAUUAUUAUCCAAUUUUAGCUAUAGGAGAAAAACAAAGCCAUUAAUUUGCACAAGCUAUUAGCAUUAUUUGGUUCUUGAUAAUAGAUACUCCUUUCGUGUUGGUCAAAGCGCUGCCCUGUGGCUGGAGCUGUGGUGGCGCAUCGUAUUUUAUUAGCAACAGCGUUUGCAUGGCGGUGUUGCCGAGUAUGAAGGUGGUUUUUCUGAUGAUUUAGGUUUUGGUGGUUCAAUUUUCACUGUUGGUGGUUCAGGCUUC
rnacentral:misc_RNA from 1 species